rnacentral:rRNA from 1 species
UACGUAGGGUGCAAGCGUUAAUCGGAAUUACUGGGCGUAAAGCGUGCGCAGGCGGCUCGGUAAGAAAGAUGUGAAAUCCCAGGGCUUAACCUUGGAAUGGCAUUUUUAACUCCCGAGCUAGAGUAUGUCAGAGGGGGGUAGAAUUCCACGUGUAGCAGUGAAAUGCGUAGGGAUGUGGAGGAAUACCGAUGGCGAAGGCAGCCCCCUGGGAUAAUACUGACGCUCAGGCACGAAAGCGUGGGGAGCAAACAGG